UACGUAGGGUGCAAGCGUUGUCCGGAAUUAUUGGGCGUAAAGAGCUCGUAGGCGGUCUGUCGCGUCUGCUGUGAAAACUCAGGGCUUAACCCUGAGCUUGCAGUGGGUACGGGCAGACUAGAGUGCGGUAGGGGAGACUGGAAUUCCUGGUGUAGCGGUGAAAUGCGCAGAUAUCAGGAGGAACACCGAUGGCGAAGGCAGGUCUCUGGGCCACUACUGACGCUGAGAAGCGAAACCAUGGGGAGCGAACAGG
rnacentral:rRNA from 1 species